AACGAACGCUGGCGGCGUGGCUAAGGCAUGCAAGUCGAACGGACCCUUACGAGGGGUAACCUGAGUUUGGGUUAGUGGCGAACGGGUGAGGAAUGCAUGGAUAACGUACCCCAGACACGGGGAUAGCGGCGGGACGCAGGUCUCUUUAGCGAAAGUGCCGGUAAUACCCGAUGACCCCGUAGGAUCGCAUGAUCCAGCGGGCAAAGCUCCGACGGUCUGUGAGCGAUCCAUGCCCAUCAGCUAGUUGGU
rnacentral:rRNA from 1 species